rnacentral:rRNA from 1 species
UACGUAGGCAGCAAGCGUUGUUCGGAAUUACUGGGCGUCAAGAGUGUGUAGGCGGUUUGGUAAGUCUGGUGUGCAAUCUCCCGGCUCAACUGGGAGGGUGCGCCGGGAACUGCCUGGCUGGAGUACGGUAGAGGAGAGUGGAAUUCCCGGUGUAGCGGUGAAAUGCGUAGAUAUCGGGGGGAACACCUGUGGUGAAAGCGGCUCUCUAGACCGUAACUGACGCUGAGACACGAAAGCGUGGGGAGCAAACAGG